ensembl:lncRNA
CGGCGGCCGGCGUGGCGGCCAUGGCGGCUGGGCCUCGGGCCUUCCUCGCGGCCGCCUGCGUGGCGGGGAGGAGGGGGUGCUCAGCGUCUGUGGUUGCUGGCUCGGCCUCACUGCUCUGCUCAAAAGGAGGAAGAAGAAAAAGAUGUCUUAAAUGCAAAGCCUCGUUGCCAGUUUUCCUCUAAGCUGGUCUGUAGAGCUGAAACUGCUGCAGCAUCUCUGCAUACACAGAGCUCCUCUUCUGAGGACGAGGAGCUUGGCUYUUCAGCAGUCACUGGAAAGGCCUCCUAACUUCAGGAAGCAGAAGUCCAUUUAAUCGGAGAGGAAUGUGUUCUAAGCAGAGGAGAAAAUAAAUCCUCUAAUGUGUGGGACAAAAUGGCUAGUGGCUUUCUGUAGUAGGGACUUGGUUCCUACUAUAGAGUUGACUUACAAAAUACAAAAUUACUUUGGCAUCUGAUACAGCCAUAAAAUCCUCUGCAGCAGCACAGGAGUACAAUUUGCAGUAUGAAGUUGAGGGAGGGAGGCAGGCAGGCAAUGUUUUUAAAUGCUUAAAUAUUAACAAAACUGGUGUAACACUUUGGGUGCAAGUGUAACUAGGAUUUUUGUAGUGAAGAAAAGCAUUGUUCAGGUUUGCAGCUAUCAAUGCUGAGGCUCCUGAAUUCAAAGAAAUGUGUUGAGCAAGUUGUAGGCUUGUUCGCUCCAUAUGCCAGAGGAGAAAAAAAAUGGGCAUAUGCAGUUCUGGCUCAUAUCCCUACUGUAGCUGUCAACCAGUACUGGCUACAGACAUGGACACAAUACAGGAAAGGAUAACUACUACAGAAAAAAGAUCUAUUACAUCUAUACAGCCUGGUGAUGUUUGCAUCACUCUGCUGCAUUUUGCUGACCAUACUGAAGGGUUCUGCUGCUAAGGAUUUACCAAAGUCGGGGCAUAUGCUUCUGUGAGCUUAUAGUAAGCAUUUGAGAAGCACAGUUCACUUGGAUUUCUGGAGAAGACUGAUGACAAAUGGAGGUAUUUAAUACCCAGUUUGAAAGCGCUGGAUUUUUCUACCCAAUAUAGCCUUACUGGUUUUUUUGAAUCCAACCUUAACUGUAUUUUGAGAGCACAAACUUGAAUCGGCUGUAUUGCAAAAAGUGCACUGUCGGGCACUUGACCUUGUGUUAAUGAAACAAAGUAAGCACUGCUUCCCAAUCAGUUGGUCUUGGCUUUAGAUUUGUACUCUGCUUCUCCAUGUUGGAACUGAAGCACUUGCAGAAGUUACUCAAGAAGUAGAGCAAAGAAAAGUUGGCCAAUAUUUUGAAUGUAUGCUAGUUCCAUCUUUAAGAGAUUUCUUGAAGAGUCAGUCUCUAACUGAUGCUGAUACUUAAAGUAAGUACUUGAAGAAUGUGCUAGCUAGUAUUGUGUCUGAGCAGGUUACAGUUGAGUCUAGUUUAAAACUCCAUCCUUGGCCCUGGAGAUAAUGCAAUUAGUAUCUUCCCUUUAGGCACUGACAGCCUUCAUGUUUCUUGACAUGUAUUAGUGCUAUGAUUUAUGUUCUGAUAUGUCAGAAACUGCAACUUUUUUUCCAUAAUACUUCUUCCUAAAAAUCUUUUCGUAAACCCCCACAUUUCUAACAGAAAAGUGCAAAUGCUGGGAACUGUAAAAUAAUGUAUUUUCAAAUACAGUCUUUUUAUGGAACCUCUUGAAACCAAAUCCAUACAUGUGUUCUUUCAACUCUUAAAUGCCACUCCUUAUUUAAAAAGAAAUUGUUGGAAGCAAAGGAAGGAAAUGUUGAGAAAUUAAAAUAUGAGGAUGAGGCCAAAUGUAAAGCAUAUUCUGAGGGUUUUCACUUAAUGUACAAACAGGAUCUUUGUGUGAAGAAAAAAUAGCUGUAAUCAGAAAUGCUUGGAUGAAAGAAAAACAUUACAAAACUAUUAGUGUAACUUACGAUUGCAGGGAUUAACUUUACUAAAAGGUUCCUAACUGAUUAAAUACAGGAUUAAGAAGAUUCUAGUCUUAGUUUUCAGCAACAGUAGCUGUAUCUAGCUAAACCUAUUAAGACACUAUUCAUGGACAAAAUCAUAAUAGUGGCUGUCUUUGAGGGAGAAGAAAAUUAGCCUUCUUUCUUUGGAAGCGUGUCCAAAACAAAUACAUGUUUUACCUAUGUCUGAGUUAGAUUGAAUGAUAUUCCCCCAAUCUAAAAAGACUUGUCUAUUACUAUCUUGAUGGUUUUGAAAUAAAUGAAGCAAGAGAUAGAGAAAGUGAACUCA